GCGGUGAGGCGGGCGGGUACAUGGCGGGCUCUGUGGGACUGGCGUUGUGCGGCCAGACGCUGGUGGUGCGGGGCGGCAGCCGAUUCCUGGCCACCUCCAUAGCAAGCAGUGAUGAUGACAGCCUCUUCAUCUAUGACUGCAGUGCUGCAGAAAAGAAGUCACAAGAAAAUAAAGGGGAGGACGCGCCCUUGGACCAGGGGAGCGGUGCGAUUCUGGCGUCCACCUUCUCCAAGUCUGGCAGCUAUUUUGCUUUAACCGAUGACAGACCGUGGCAAGGAGGUGUACAGCCCUGACCUUCAUAGCCUCGGAGGAGAAGGUCUUGGUGGCCGACAAGUCUGGAGACGUCUACUCCUUUUCGGUGCUGGAGCCACACGGGUGUGGCCGUCUAGAGCUGGGGCACCUGUCUAUGCUGUUAGAUGUGGCUGUGAGUGCUGAUGACCGCUUCAUCCUCACUGCCGACCGGGACGAGAAGAUCCGAGUCAGCUGGGCCGCGGCGCCCCAUAGCAUCGAGUCCUUCUGCUUGGGGCACACAGAGUUUGUGAGCCGCAUCUUCGUGGUGCCAACUCAGCCCGGGCUGCUUCUGUCCUCCUCUGGGGACGGCACCCUGAGGCUCUGGGAGUACAGGAGCGGCCGCCAGCUGCACUGCUGUCACCUGGCCAGUCUGCAGGAGCUGGUGGACCCCCAGGCCCCCCAGAGGUUUGCCGCGUCCAGGAUUGCGUUCUGGUGCCAGGAGAACUGCGUGGCGCUCCUGUGCGACGG
rnacentral:sRNA from 1 species